rnacentral:rRNA from 1 species
GACGAACGCUGGCGGCGUGCUUAACACAUGCAAGUCGAACGGUGAACGAGGGAGCUUGCUCCCUCCGGAUCAGUGGCGAACGGGUGAGUAACACGUGAGCAAUCUGCCCCGAACUCUGGGAUAAGCGUUGGAAACGACGUCUAAUACCGGAUACGACGCGGGAGGGCAUCCUCUCCGCGUGGAAAGAACUUCGGUUCGGGAUGAGCUCGCGGCCUAUCAGCUUGUUGGUGAGGUAACGGCUCACCAGGGCGACGACGGGUAGCCGGCCUGAGAGGGUGACCGGCCACACUGGGACUGAGACACGGCCCAGACUCCUACGGGAGGCAGCAGUGGGGAAUAUUGCACAAUGGGCGCAAGCCUGAUGCAGCAACGCCGCGUGAGGGACGACGGCCUUCGGGUUGUAAACCUCUUUUAGCAGGGAAGAAGCGAAAGUGACGGUACCUGCAGAAAAAGCACCGGCUAACUACGUG